UGAAUCAGUUUGUGUGUCAGUGGAACGGUCUGGAAAGGCCGGCGAUACAGGGUGACAGCCCCGUACACGAAGGCACACAGGCUGUGAGCUCGAUGAGUAGGGCGGGACACGUGAUAUCCUGUCUGAAGAUGGGGGGACCAUCCUCCAAGGCUAAAUACUCCUGACUGACCGAUAGUGAACCAGUACCGUGAGGGAAAGGCGAAAAGAACCCCGGCGAGGGGAGUGAAACAGAACCUGAAACCGUGUACGUACAAGCAGUGGGAGCCUUCGUAAGAGGGUGACUGCGUACCUUUUGUAUAAUGGGUCAGCGACUUAUAUUCUGUAGCAAGGUUAACCGUAUAGGGGAGCCGAAGGGAAACCGAGUCUUAACCGGGCGUUAAGUUGCAGGGUAUAGACCCGAAACCCGGUGAUCUAGCCAUGGGCAGGUUGAAGGUUGGGUAACACUAACUGGAGGACCGAACCGACUAAUGUUGAAAAAUUAGCGGAUGACCUGUGGCUGGGGGUGAAAGGCCAAUCAAACCGGGAGAUAGCUGGUUCUCCCCGAAAGCUAUUUAGGUAGCGCCUCGUGAACUCAUCUCCGGGGGUAGAGCACUGUUUCGGCUAGGGGGCCAUCCCGGCUUACCAACCCGAUGCAAACUGCGAAUACCGGAGAAUGUUAUCACGGGAGACACACGGCGGGUGCUAACGUCCGUCGUGAAGAGGGAAACAACCCAGACCGCCAGCUAAGGUCCCAAAGUCAUGGUUAAGUGGGAAACGAUGUGGGAAGGCCCAGACAGCCAGGAUGUUGGCUUAGAAGCAGCCAUCAUUUAAAGAAAGCGUAAUAGCUCACUGGUCGAGUCGGCCUGCGCGGAAGAUGUAACGGGGCUAAACCAUG
rnacentral:rRNA from 1 species